UGGGGAAUUUUCCGCAAUGGGCGAAAGCCUGACGGAGCAAUACCGCGUGAGGGAGGACGGCUUUUGGGUUGUAAACCUCUUUUAUCAGGGAAGAAUCGAUGACGGUACCUGAUGAAUCAGCAUCGGCUAACUCCGUGCCAGCAGCCGCGGUAAUACGGAGGAUGCAAGCGUUAUCCGGAAUUAUUGGGCGUAAAGCGUCCGUAGGUGGUUUAUCAAGUCUGCUGUCAAAGCGUGCGGCUUAACCGCAUAAGGGCAGUGGAAACUGAUGAACUAGAGUGCGAUAGGGGUAACAGGAAUUCCCAGUGUAGCGGUGAAAUGCGUAGAUAUUGGGAAGAACACCAGCGGCGAAAGCGUGUUACUGGGUCUGCACUGACACUGAGGGACGA
rnacentral:rRNA from 1 species